GUGCUCACCCUGGCAGCACAUAUACUAAAAUUAGAAUGAUAUAGAGAAGAUUAGCACGGCCCCUGAACAAGAAUGACAGGCAAAUUCAUGAAGUGUUACAUAUUUUU
rnacentral:snRNA from 1 species